CUGGCAGGCUAGAGAUUGAUUGGCUUCUGAAGGCCCGCGGCUAACUACCUGCGAGGGCGAAAAGGGAAGCUUUCUGACAGGCGAAGACUUGGGAGUUGAGCGGACAAACAAGUCUGUUCUGAGAGCGCUUUUUUCCAAGAAGUUUCCGGUUCUGGCCUCAGCCACUGAGGCGAGGCUCUGGGGAAAGGUGGGCGGAAGACGUCGGGUCAAGGCCCACCGGUGCCAUGUCAAAAGGAGAGCCAGCAAGUGGUGGCGUAUAUGCUUACCGAGUCAAGGACAGACUCCAUGAACUCAGGCAUUGCACUGGAGAACGAUGCGCUGUUGUCAUCGCUGCUGCUGCUGCUGUCAUGAACCCGCGAAGCCGAGGCGCUUUCUUCGGGCAGGCAGCUCUGAUCUAAAGGUAGGGUCGGGGCGGCGGCCCGGUGAUGAGGUAAUGACAUCGCCACACCCUCUACUGUGUGGGUCAACGGGCUGUGGCUGGCCCAGCUUGGAUAAGGCAAGUUGAUCUGGUGAGAAAAAAGAAAUAUUAGUGAAAGACAGUGCAAGGGUAACAAGAAGAGAAGGGGCGUUAAAAUUGAAGAAAAGCAGAAAGGGAACUGAAGUUGGCAGGAGGGUGAUACUCAUUGUGUUGUGUUGCACAAGGGGUCGUGGAGACACACACACACACACACACAUACACACACACACACACACACGUGGCAAGACGAGGUCCUGUUUCAUCACUCCUGCAGCAACAGGCCCCCCAGAUGUUUCCUCCAUCGUAUUCACACAAAGCUAACCGCUGUCUUUUAAGCCCCCCGGGUCAGGCUAUGUGCACAUAAAUCCUGUUGUCAAAAACACACACACACACACACACACACACACACACACACACACACACACACACACACACACACACACAACUCACUGGUAGUGAUGGCUGUCCUCUCAGCUCGUUCUCUGUAGACAUGAGCAGCAUUUCGAUUUCUUUCACCCUCUUCUCUUUCUCAGGGUCCUCCUCACCAUAGUGUCUCUGAGUGAUGACAAAGAAGCAACAUAUAGGCUGUAAGGGCUAAUUCCUAAUAUUGCAAUCUAAUGGUUGUAGUAUCAUCACAAUGUAGUUCUUACCUGUGUAGCAGUGGUUCCAUGCUGAGGGAUGCUGAGAAAGUGCAAAGCCAAAGGGAAGGACACCUAUGUGGCCAAUCAGAAGCCAGUUGAGCAAACAAUCCAUAAAUACGUCAUACACCAAUUUGUGUUCAACUCACUCUUUGCGCGUCCGAUAUGUACUGGUAGCGGAGCGGUGAUGCGGGAGCCAGCUGCGUGUGACUGGACGAGUGGUGUGGGAACGUCAUGAGGUGGCCGCUGGGCUUAGUGUAGCCAUGGCCGACAGAGAGCGGCGAGCUGGUGCCCUUGGCAGCGCUCUGCAGGUAGCCCUCUUGCUCCACCUUGCGCCUCAUGGUGGAGUUCCAAUGGUUUUUUAUUGCGUUGUCGGUCCUUACGGGUGACACCAGGUUUUAGAAACACAAUGUUCACUCUUUUCAUGUUUAUGGACAAAUCCAACAAUCAAUCUUACCUGCCGGGGAGCAGCUUCGCGAUCUCAGCCCAGCGGUUGCCCAGUUUCUCGUGCGCCUGGUAGAUUAUGUGGUCCUCCUCCUCGGUCCACGAGGUCUUCUUCACCUCCGGGUUAAGGUGGUUAUGCCACCGCUCACGGCACUGCUUGCCGAUGCGUCCUUUCAGGUGCUUGGCGAUGACCGACCAGCGCUUGGCACCAUACUUCUGAACCAGCUCUAUUACCUGCAGGGGGAAGAGGAGCAGGUAGAAGGAUGGAUGGGAUGCAGAUAAAGAAAAAGGUGUGUCACUAUGAGAUUGACACCUUACAGAAGAAGUAGUUUGCCCCCUUCUUUAUCUCUGCGUAGGUGACUGAGAACACCUGCCGAGCGCUUAGGGAGUUUCCCGUUGAACGUUAGCUACCCUGCUAAUCAUUACAAUGGCAUCUGCAUGGAAAUGCAAGCACCCCUCGGACACGUCCAAUAAACACACUCAAGUUGGAUGGUGUUGUGUAACUUUUGUAGGGGAAGAGGUCUUGCUGGGAAAGAACUGUUCCUUAAAUUGUACGAAACACUAAUUUUUGGUCUUUUCGAUAGCUUGAGGGAAAUGAUCCCGGUUUUAGUCAGUCGGUGAGUAAGGAGGUCGAGAACAAAAAAUAAACACUUUUAAACUAUGAAUUCAGCUUGUUGAUGUACUAUCUCUCUGUAGUUUCUUUUGUGCAAUUUUAUGCGCAUCUUUCUCACUAAUUGUAUUUCUUCAUGCUGCUGCACCUGUGUUAUAUCGCACUCCCUUACAUCCAGUAUUGGAAGAUGUCAUUCUAAACUAUUCCUUUUCAGUGCUCUUGAUUCCCAGGGAAUAAUUAAGUUUUGUGCAUUUUCAUUUGUGUGUGUGUGUGCGUGUGUGUGAAACUUCCUGUUUACACUUUCUGGUGUGUCAAACUUGAUUUUUUUAAACAAUGGAUAGGUGUACUUCCGUAAACCGGUAAUUAUAAUCCGGUGCAACUCUAAUCUGCAGGAGUUUGCAAAAUGUCAAUGUCAAACCAAGAUAAAUCCAGAUUUAUACAUUAACACACAAUUUAGCAUACAUUUUUCUACAAAUAUUUUGCACUGCAGCUGUGUUAACUUGAUGGCCUUUAAGUGUUGUUUUUUUCCUUACCCGCUGGUCUUCUUCUUUGGUCCAGGGUCCUUUGAUUAACUCUGGGUUGAGGACCUUUUGCCAUCUGUGCUGACAGUGCACAUCUGUACGGUUCUGGUGGUCAAUCACAAAAAAACAACAUUAACCUACAGCGCGUGCCUUAUAAGUUCUCACUGUGGUGUGUACUUACGGAUAGUAAAUUGGCUAUUACUUUCCAGUCCUCUGAUCCGUGAAGUUCGACAAGUUUCUUCAACUUCUCAUCCUGGACAAUGAAAGGAUGCAAUGAGUUAAAUGGUCAAAGUGUUGUGUUUUUUUCAAGCAGUGAAAGGCAUACCUCUUCUCUUGUCCAGCGCGUUUUACCGAGGUGGCGUUUACCAGGCUUUGCCAUCAUGCCGUCGUAAUCGUGUUCGUACAGCUCAGCCUCUUCCUCAUCCUCCUCACUGCUGUAAACACUGAAACACAUAGAUCAGACAUGACCACAUACACUUUUAAAUAAUAACACAGUUACUUCUUGUUUUAUCCUUAUAAAUGAGUGCUGUACUAUGAAACACCCACACACGCAUGCACGCACGCACGCACGCACGCACGCACACACACACACACACACACACACACACAGAACCAGUCAUUCUUGAAGGUUUAGGUGCAGGCAUUUAGCCAAGACACCCACAAGAUGUGGAGGCAAAGGGGGGUGAUUUAUGGAUGAACAGGUUCUUAUGUUUUUGGUUUCUACAGAUACUGGGAUUGGCACAUGCAAUCGUAAUUUCACAAGCCCGGCAUGUUCAGACCUGCAGCCGGAUUGUACACUGGGUGCGGGCGCGCGCACACGCACGCACACUUCAGCCAAUCAGAAUGUAGAGCAAGCUCCAUGUGGAGGAGAGGUAAGGUAUUGCAGUGUAACAGGUGAACAGGAACUCCACUUCCCGAUCAACAGCUAUUCAAGUGUUUUUGGACAAUCAUGAUAAGUGUUAUGAUCAGCAUAGUUGACUUGCUGCUCACAAAUACCUCCCAUUUCUGUCCCAAAAUAACUUUUUUCCCUUUACUGCACCUGAGAUUUUGAAAAAAAAAAAAAAAACUACCUAGCGAGGCACCUAGAAAAUAAGGUUGGUCUUACUCAGCAGGAACUUUUGAGUGGUGAUCCUGCUGAAAAGCCCUGUUUGGUGUGAUUAAGAUUUUUUUUUUCCACCAUACUCAUUUCUAUUAUUUAGGGAAAAUUGAGCAAAAAAAGAUAAAUUAUUGGAUAUUCUUUGGGGGUAUAUAUCAGAGAAUCUCAAUUUUUUAAUGUACAGUACCUAUCUUACAUGUUUUGUAUUAGACUCACUUGCACUCGAUUAAAAGUCUGACCUAAUAUAAUAUGUCAGUCCAAAUGGAAGCUGUUAAGUGUAGUGGCAACGCAAAACCACAGAGAUGACCAAAUACCCUUCAUUUAGUUAUUAAUGAUCAAAGUGCAUAGAAAUCGGAAUGAUAACAAGACUAUUUGCAGGGGAAAAUGUGGAUUUAUUCUACAUUUACAGUGUGUAGAAAAGCAAGACUUUGGUGAUGCAGAAAAAAGUUGCAGACCUUUGCUAGGAGUAAGACAAGUGUGAAAGUGAAAAUGACCUGCAUUACUAUUACAAAUGCUGUUGGUCACACUUGCUUAGUAGAGUGCGUGGACACACACACACACACAUACACACACACACACACACACACACACACACACACACACACACACACACACACACACACACACACACAGCAGCCAAUCAGAAUGUAGAGCAGGCACAAUGUGGAGGCAAGUGUAGAAGCCUCAGUGCAACAGGUGAAUGAAAGCAUAUAGCGCUCCUCUUUCAUCUACCGAAUCAAAGGAUACAACCUCAUCUUUGAAGGUUUUACAGUCUACUUCGUUAAGUACAUUCCUGAUUGACCUGCUGCUCUCUCACCCACUUGUAUGGGAAACAAUUGACAAUUGGCGGCAGUCAUCUUAGUAAGUGUGAAAGUGAAAACGCGGCUUCCUUUGAUUUAAGCGGGAGCGCGCACCAGAUGACCACCACCUGUCAGCGGCGCGCGGGACCCAAGCCCCUUCCCCCCAAAAAAGCCUCAUCAGAACAAUAUCUCUUCUGGAACGUUAUGAAGGAAGCAGCGACGUCGACAUGCCAUCUUAAAAUAAAAUUUGAAGAAA